CAGUCGCCACGGUAAAACGUAGGGUGCAAGCGUUAAUCGGAAUUACUGAGCGUAAAGCGUGCGCAGGCGGUUAUGCAAGACAGAUGUGAAAUCCCCGGGCUCAACCUGGGAACUGCAUUUGUGACUGCAUGGCUAGAGUACGGUAGAGGGGGAUGGAAUUCCGCGUGUAGCAGUGAAAUGCGUAGAUAUGCGGAGGAACACCGAUGGCGAAGGCAAUCCCCUGGACCUGUACUGACGCUCAUGCACGAAAGCGUGGGGAGCAAACAGGAUUAGAUACCCCUGUAGUCCCUGUCUCUUAUAC
rnacentral:rRNA from 1 species